rnacentral:rRNA from 1 species
UACGGAGGAUGCGAGCGUUAUCCGGAUUUAUUGGGUUUAAAGGGUGCGUAGGCGGCUUUUUAAGUCAGCGGUGAAAUUUUGCAGCUUAACUGUAACAGUGCCGUUGAUACUGGGGAGCUAGGAUUUGGUUGCUGUGGGUGGAAUGUGUGGUGUAGCGGUGAAAUGCGUAGAUAUCGGGAGGAACACCAGUGGUGAAGACGGCUUUCUGGUCUGUUGCUGACGCUGAGGAGCGAAAGCCAGGGGAGCGAACCGGAUUAGAUACCCCCGUAGUCCCU